rnacentral:rRNA from 1 species
UCGAAGGCACCCAGCAAUGGGUGACUGGCGAACGGGUGCGUAACACGUGAGCGAUCUACCCUGGUGUGGGGGAUAGCCGGCCCAACGGCCGGGUAAUACCGCAUGGGCUUUAGUCCCUGCAUGGGGAUUUCAGCAAAGCCUUCGGGCGCACUGGGAGGGGCUCGCGGCCUAUCAGCUAGUUGGCGAGGUAAUGGCUCACCAAGGCGACGACGGGUAGCUGGUCUGAGAGGAUGGCCAGCCACAUUGGGACUGAGAGACGGCCCAGACUCCUACGGGAGGCAGCAGUGGGGAAUCUUGCGCAAUGGGCGAAAGCCUGACGCAGCGACGCCGCGUGCGGGAGGACGGCCUUCGGGUCGUAAACCGCUGUUGCCCGGGACGAAAAGCCCUUUCGAGGGCGUUGACGGUACCGGGUGAGGAAGCACCGGCUAACUCCGUGCCAGCAGCCGCGGUAAUACGGAGGGUGCGAGCGUUG